rnacentral:lncRNA from 1 species
GGGAAUGCUUGAUGUGUAUGGUAAGAUCCUUAGAGAAGAAAUGGAAACUGGAAUGCCUCUACUCAUACUGUCAAUACACAUAAUCAAGGAUGGGAUAGAGUGUAUACAACCUUACCAAAUCACUUUGAUCUCAGUCGCAUACUAAUGAUCAUCAGCAGCCAGUAAUUCUAGAAAACAAAGUACUCCAGCUGCUGCUAUGGCUUCAGCCUUUCAGGUGGAACUGUACAAUCUGAAUACAAAGAACAGGAACAUGAAACCAGAAUCCUAACCCCGCGCCUUUCCGCUUGCAAGCGUGAGUUCGAGAUCAUCCGUGCCCAUCUCGUGUAUCCGCUCACCUUCCCAAGGCUUGACCUUUCUAUUCCCGAACUCGAACUCAGAGCUUCUCACAUUGUCAACUCCACUCGCAGCAGCAUUUACAUUCGCUCCCACCACGGGUCUAACGAGGUUGAAAGUAGGGGAAACGGGGAUCGUUUGGGAAGAAGGAACACCUUGGAAAGAUAACCACCCGCCAGAAUCGAUAAUGGAGCCAUCAGAUUCGUCGCAUUCGGGUAUGGGUUGGAAGUAGUGGUGGCGCCUGGUAGGACUAGAAGGCGCGGAGGCUGCAAAGAUCGGAUGGUUGAAGGAGUUGACUAUAGUUGCAUUGUUAGCAAGGGAUGCAUUGGAAUUUCUGGUGGGAGAAGAGAGCGGAGGAGUUACUGGGGCACUGUUGGAUAUCCUAAGAGGAGGCAAGUUUGUGGGGAUUGAAGCUAUGUUACGGAGUAAAGGAAGGAGGUAUGCUGAUGGGUUGGCUUCAAAACGAGAAGGACUUGGGAAUGAUGAUGAUGUUGGGCUAGCUUGGUAGGAAAUCACCGGACUUUGGAAGUUUGAAGUUUGUGGACUUGGCUGAAUGGAUGAACCUCCGCUAAAGCUUAGUGGAGUUCCUGCAAUUUCACCAGGCAGCGGCUUGCACCCCUGAGAACAGAUCAUAAAACAUCAAUCAUCACCAAGACAGUAUAUUCAACCAAAUUGGGAUCUCCAAAAUCAUUACAAUAAGAUUAAUCUAGAUGCCAAACAGAUGUUAUGCAGAUUCAGAUUUCCUUUCGGAGAAACACAGAGACAGCCAUUGAAUGAAGUUAUAUCAGGCUAAUCUGAUUCAAUAAUGGAGCAGCAAUGAUUGUGAUUAAGAGUAAGCAUUUAAGGAAUACAGAAACAGAAACGAGGCAAAACCUUGCGGUAAGUAGUACCGUCUUCUUCAACGAAUUUCUCUUCUUCCUCCUCACACUGACGAACCCAACAAUUUUGAAACCCUUUUGUUCAAGUUUGCAUCUUGCCCUUCUUCUUUUUCGUCUUCUUCUUCUCCUUCUCCAACCCACUGAGAAGAGUCGAAGAAAGAUUACUGUGCUGAAUAGGAAAUCAGAGAAUCACAAGUUAGAAAUCGAGAGAGAAAUGAAAGUUCGAAGAAAUUGGGUUCAUUUUGUGCCGAUUGGAAAAGGAUUAAUUUUUACCAGUAUAAAGCAAAAUGAAUGCGCAGUGAGUGUCGCUCUCUCCAGCCUCUCCCUUCAAACUAUUGGUAGGGAAGAAUCUGCUUAUUCACUUCUGAGUUCUUUCUGACUGCCAUCUCGCUCAUUUGUUUACAGAAUUUACCAUUUUUUGCCACUGCUUCGACAUUUUUACUUGUAAGUAACUUUGAGAUAAUAUUAUUUUUCUAUUUUUUAUUUUACCAAAAUAACAAUUAGACCUCUAUAUUAUUAAAUAUUAUUUUCCCUCUUUUAUUUUACCAAUUUGCUAAAUAUUUUCUUUUGUUAUUAUUGCCGUCCAUAUUUCGUUAAAUCAUGUUGAAUUAUUAUGACACGUCAGCCUCAUAUGCCACAUGGCCUAUGACUGGAUUUUUGUUAUUUUAUUAUUUUUAACAAAAUAAUUUUUAUUUUUAACAUAUUAGAUUGAUGUGUAAUUGAAUCUUUUUUAUAUAUUCAGAUUGACAAAUAAAAAUAUAAUAUUGUAUGUAUCAAUAUAAAAAUCAUCAAUAAAUUUUCAUCAAUCAUCAAAUAAAACCAUGUAAUUCACAAAGUAAACUUCAUAAUUUUCUAAAAUUAUUGAAAAUAAUAUUUCCAAACAUGUUACUAGUUAGAAGUGAACAUCUGUUUCUGUUAUUAGCACUAUAGACAUUCAUAUCAGGGGGGAAUGCUUGAUGUGUAUGGUAAGAUCCUUAGAGAAGAAAUGGAAACUGGAAUGCCUCUACUCAUACUGUCAAUACACAUAAUCAAGGAUGGGAUAGAGUGUAUACAACCUUACCAAAUCACUUUGAUCUCAGUCGCAUACUAAUGAUCAUCAGCAGCCAGUAAUUCUAGAAAACAAAGUACUCCAGCUGCUGCUAUGGCUUCAGCCUUUCAGGUGGAACUGUACAAUCUGAAUACAAAGAACAGGAACAUGAAACCAGAAUCCUAACCCCGCGCCUUUCCGCUUGCAAGCGUGAGUUCGAGAUCAUCCGUGCCCAUCUCGUGUAUCCGCUCACCUUCCCAAGGCUUGACCUUUCUAUUCCCGAACUCGAACUCAGAGCUUCUCACAUUGUCAACUCCACUCGCAGCAGCAUUUACAUUCGCUCCCACCACGGGUCUAACGAGGUUGAAAGUAGGGGAAACGGGGAUCGUUUGGGAAGAAGGAACACCUUGGAAAGACAGCCACCGGCCAGAAUCGAUAAUGGAGCCAUCAGAUUCAUCGCAUUCGGGUAUGGGUUGGAAGUAGUGGUGGCGCCUGGUAGGACUAGAAG